GCCGAUCACCGGUCGCCAGAGAGAGAGAUGGAAGAACGAGUACUGCUCUGCAGCUGCUGAGAGAUUAGGGUUUGUUUCGGCCAAAAAAUCUAAGGCUGUAUUGGAAAGAAAUUAAAGGUGCAGGUUUUUUAAAAGCAAUAUUUUAGACAUUUCAAUGAGUCUCAAGCAAUUUUCUUGACGUCCAGCGAUGCUCUGAGCAUUCUGACGACUUUUGGUGACGUUCAGAACACAAUGGUGUUACUUUGGUGACUUCCUAGUGAUAUUGGACAUUCUGACGAGCCUCUGGUGAUUGUUUGACGGAAGUCCGACAGAGGUUCGACAGUGGUGAGAUGUGCAACGUCCUUAAAUUUAAAAAAAUAAAAAUUAAGAUUUUUUUGAUAACAAUUAAAAAUAUGUAAGACUAAUUGGUGUAAGCGUUUUAUUUUGAGACUA